CACGCCGUAAACGAUGGAUGCUAGCUGUUAUGAGUAUCGACCCUCGUAGUAGCGAAGCUAACGCGUUAAGCAUCCCGCCUGUGGAGUACGAGCGCAAGCUUAAAACAUAAAGGAAUUGACGGGGACCCGCACAAGCGGUGGAGCGUGUUCUUUAAUUCGAUGGUAAGCGAAGAACCUUACCCAGGCUUGACAUCCUUGGAAGGUCUCCGAAAGGAGACUGUGCCUUGUGAACCAAGUGACAGGUGU
rnacentral:rRNA from 1 species